GAUGAACGCUGGCGGCGUGCCUAAUACAUGCAAGUCGAGCGAACAGACGCGGCGCUUGCUGCUCUGUCGUUAGCCGCGCACGGGUGUGUAACACGUGUAUACCCCACCUAUCAGACUGGGAACACUACGGGACACCGGCGCUAAUCCCGGAUAAUCUAUUGAUCCGCAUGGUGGAUUAGUGAGAGACGGCGUUGCGGUCUCUACUCGAUGGUUCUGGGCCGUUUUGGCUAGUUGGUAAGGUCAUGGCUUACCAAGGCAAGGAGGCGUAGCCGACCUGAGAGGGGGGUCGGCCACACGAGAGCUGAGACGGGGUCCAGGCUCCUACGAUAGGGAGCAGUAGGGAAUCUUCCGCAGUGGGCGAAAGCCUGACGGAGCAGCGGGACGUCAGUUAUGAAGGUCUUCGGAGCGUAAAACUCUGUUAUGAGGGAAGAACAGAUGUGUAAGUAACUAUGGACUUCGUGACGGUACCGAAUAAGAAAGCCACGGCUAACUACGUG
rnacentral:rRNA from 1 species